ensembl:lncRNA
GUGCUGAGCGCUUAAAGGUCGAAUUAGAGAGAGCUGCUCUGUUAGCCAAGUCAGCUACAUUGAGAAAAAGACAGACUUUAGAGGAGCAUGAACUAAAGCUCAAGGUUGAAAAAGAACAGUUGGAGCUGCAAGCAGGGCUCGCUGCAACUGAUGCACGAUUAGCCGUGUUAAGAAAAUAUGAAAGUUCAGAGGUGUCAAGUAGAACCAAAGGCAGUAGGGUGGAAAUAUUGAUGUCUGCGCCAAGGAAGCAUGAUGUCAGCCACAGUAAGAGAAGUGUAGCUAGCAGUGGAACUUGGCAUAGCCACACUAGUGGAAGAGGUGCAGAUGCAAUACGAGCUCCUGUCACUUCAGAUAAUCACACAGAUAAUCUGGUUACCGUCAUGCAACGGCAAAACGACAUCACUGAAAGCCUAAUAAAGCAGCAAAGGCUAUCUACAUUGCCAUCACCGAACAUUCCAGUUUUCAAGGGAGAUCCAUUAGAAUAUCGUCUCUUCAUGAGAGCCUUUGAGCAUCGUAUAGAAAGCAAGACUGAAAACAGCAAAGAUCGGCUUUACUAUCUAGAACAGCACACAAAUGGGCAGCCUAAUGACUUAGUGCGCAGCUGUUUUCAUAUGGAUCCAGAUCAGGGCUACUCCGAAGCCAAGAGACUGCUAAAGGAACGCUUUGGUGAUAAAUAUAAGAUAUCCAUGGCAUACCUUGACAAGGCUUUAAACUGGCCUGCCAUUAAAGCAGAUGACACCAAGGCACUUGAAGCAUACGCACUCUUUAUGACAAACUGCAAUAAUGCAAUGUCAGAUCUGGAGUACUUAGAAGAGAUGGAAAAUGCUGCUAACAUGCGUACGAUCAUCUCAAAGCUCCCAUACAGGCUGAGAGAGAGAUUCAGGAGUGUCGCCAUAGACAUUCAGAAAAAGCAAGAUCGGCGGACAAAGUUCAAAGACAUAGUGUCAUUUGUCAACACACAGGCUGAAAUAGCAGCACACCCUGUGUUUGGUGAAAUCUCAGGACAAACAAGGCGCCAGACUGAAAGGUUAAGUGGAAAGAAAAACAUCACAACACUAGCCACUGAAGUAAAAGAACAGAAAGCUGAGAAAGAUGCUGCUAGUGCCCGAAACAAGAAAGCUCAGGAGAAGGGA